GGAACUUUACAGUUCUCUGACUUCAACCAGGUCAAGAGUGUAAUACUUUUUCUAAUGACCUUUUAUAGGUGAUUGGUAAGUCCAAAAGACUUGUAAAGAGUUUCAGAAGAGGAUUUGCCUAGCUUUAGGGAUUCUUAGGAACAGAAGACAAGCAACUGAUUAUCAGAUAGAGUACUGGAUUUGCAAUCAGAAUUAUGCUCAUUUAAAUUUCACCUUUGAUACUACCUGGAUGAUACCCACCUUGAACAUGUUGGCUGGAGCAAAUAAUUGUAACAGCACUCAAGAAAUGAAUGAAUACCACAGGGAACAGCUUCAACCCCCCCCCCAUCCCUCUGCCCCUGACAACGUGAGUAAUUUUUGAGAAUUUUUUGAAUUCUGGAGAUGGAGCCAAGAUGGUGGACUAAUCUUCAGCAGCUCUGUACCACCAU
rnacentral:lncRNA from 1 species